rnacentral:rRNA from 1 species
AGCGAACGCUGGCGGCAGGCCUAACACAUGCAAGUCGAACGAAGUCUUCGGACUUAGUGGCGGACGGGUGAGUAACACGUGGGAGCGUGCCUUUAGGUUCGGAAUAACUCAGGGAAACUUGUGCUAAUACCGAACGUGCCCUUCGGGGGAAAGAUUUAUCGCCUUUAGAGCGGCCCGCGUCUGAUUAGCUAGUUGGUGAGGUAAAGGCUCACCAAGGCGACGAUCAGUAGCUGGUCUGAGAGGAUGAUCAGCCACAUUGGGACUGAGACACGGCCCAAACUCCUACGGGAGGCAGCAGUGGGGAAUCUUGCGCAAUGGGCGAAAGCCUGACGCAGCCAUGCCGCGUGAAUGAUGAAGGUCUUAGGAUUGUAAAAUUCUUUCACCGGGGACGAUAAUGACGGUACCCGGAGAAGAAGCCCCGACUAACUUCGUGCCAGCCGCCGCUGUAAAAC